rnacentral:rRNA from 1 species
GCCAGACUCCUACGGGAGGCAGCAGUGGGGGAUAUUGCACAAUGGGGGAAACCCUGAUGCAGCGACGCCGCGUGGGCGAAGAAGUAUUUCGGUAUGUAAAGCCCUAUCAGCAGGGAAGAAGAAAUGACGGUACCUGAGUAAGAAGCACCGGCUAACUCCGUGCCAGCAGCCGCGGUAAUACGGAGGAUGCGAGCGUUAUCCGGAUUUAUUGGGUUUAAAGGGUGCGUAGGCGGACAGUCAAGUCAGCGGUAAAAAUGCGGUGCUCAACGCCGUACAGCCGUUGAAACUGGCAGUCUUGAGUGGGCGAGAAGUAUGCGGAAUGCGUGGUGUAGCGGUGAAAUGCAUAGAUAUCACGCAGAACUCCGAUUGCGAAGGCAGCAUACCGGCGCCCGACUGACGCUGAGGCACGAAAGCGUGGGUAUCGAACAGGAUUAGAUACCCUAGUAU